UAGCUAAUGUUAGCAAGCUAGCUAACUGUUUUGUUGUUUUUUUCCCAUCUAGUUAGUUGGUCAUCUAGAAUUUGCUAGUUAUACAUUUAGUUAUAUGUCUGUCAUAUUGAGGUAUCUAGCUAUAUGUUAACCUUGAUCAAUCAAAUGGAUAGGUGUAAGCAAUUAUGGUCAUUCCAACUGCCCUCAACUAGGUCCUUUGCUAGACAGACACACAGACAGAGAGGAUGUGGACAGCUGGACAUGUGAAAUUAUCUUUUGUUUAUCGAUCACAUUCUAUUAUAUCUCAAGUUAUUAUGAUUUCAAUGAAUGUCAUAUCAGAGAGAACACAAUGUUUCAAUUUGUCAACUUAAAGGUCAGUACCUGUCUAGCCUGACAGAAGUUUAAGAGGGUGAAGACUGUGGCGUAGGAGUUGAAGCCCAUUAGUUGUUUCACCAUGGCACAUGAUUGGGGUGGACCUCAUCGGACCCUUCACGAAAUCCAGGAAUGGCAACAGCCUGUGUCUGAUGGCGACCGAUUAUUUUACCAAGUGGGUGGAGGCAAUACCCAUUAAGGACAAGACUGGCAAGGACACCUCUAAGGCGAUGAUGGACGAUGAUGGAUCUUCAACACCCACGGUUCUCCUGAGGUCAUCUUGAGUGACCGAGGUCGUGAACUCUGGAACAAGAUACGGAUGUUAUCGGUUAUAUUCUGUCACCAAUGGUUUGGAAGAACGGACCAACCACACCCUCAAGACUGCCACGGGCAAGUCCCUUGACGGGUUCCAGGAAUGGUGGGAGGACAACCUGAAGGUCAUUCUCUUUGCACACAACAGCAGCAUCCAGGCCUCCAGAGUACUCACCCUAUCGCCUGCUGUAUGGACGGGAGCUGCAGCUGUC